rnacentral:rRNA from 1 species
GAUGAACGCUGGCGGCGUGCCUAAUACAUGCAAGUCGAGCGAACAGACGAGGAGCUUGCUCCUCUGACGUUAGCGGCGGACGGGUGAGUAACACGUGGAUAACCUACCUAUAAGACUGGGAUAACUUCGGGAAACCGGAGCUAAUACCGGAUAAUAUAUUGAACCGCAUGGUUCAAUAGUGAAAGACGGUUUUGCUUUCACUUAUAGAUGGAUCCGCGCCGCAUUAGCUAGUUGGUAAGGUAACGGCUUACCAAGGCGACGAUGCGUAGCCGACCUGAGAGGGUGAUCGGCCACACUGGAACUGAGACACGGUCCAGACUCCUACGGGAGGCAGCAGUAGGGAAUCUUCCGCAAUGGGCGAUAGCCUGACGGAGCAACGCCGCGUGAGUGAUGAAGGUCUUCGGAUCGUAAAACUCUGUUAUUAGGGAAGAACAAAUGUGUAAGUAACUAUGCACGUCUUGACGGUACCUAAUCAGAAAGCCACGGCUAACUACGUG